GGGCAUCUGACCAUCUCCAGUUGAGCAGUGGUGCGCUGCCCCCGCCAACCACCUGCGUCGUCAGUUUUCUGCAUGUGUACAUUUGAGUGGAGGACAGAGCCCUCCACUGACGCUAAGUAUGGUUGUGUCCCCUUCCUACCAAGGUAGCUUGGAAAAAUAAGAGCAUGGACUGUGGCGCCCCGCUGUCUGGUGUUGACUCCUGGUUUCACCACUGGCUGGCUGUGUGACUGAGAGAGCUUACUUAAGUCCACCACUCCUCGGUUCACUUGUAAAACAGUAGUAAUAACAGAACCAACCUCAGGUUUAUGGUGAGCAUAAGUAGAACUUGGCACAAGGAAGUGCCACAUCAAUGAUCAUCGUUUUAUUAUUAGCAUAAUAACCG
rnacentral:lncRNA from 10 species